GUGGGGAAUCUUCCGCAAUGGACGAAAGUCUGAUGGAGCAACGCCGCGUGAGUGAAGAAGGGUUUCGGCUCGUAAAGCUCUGUUGUCGGGGACGAACGUGCCAUUUGCGAAUAGCAGGUGGUAAUGACGGUACCUGACGAGGAAGCCACGGCUAACUACGUGCCAGCAGCCGCGGUAAUACGUAGGUGGCAAGCGUUGUCCGGAAUGAUUGGGCGUAAAGGGAGCGCAGGCGGGAAGGUAAGUCGGUCUUAAAAGUGCGGGGCUCAACCCCGUGAUGGGAUCGAAACUAUCUUUCUUGAGUGCAGGAGAGGAAAGUGGAAUUCCUAGUGUAGCGGUGAAAUGCGUAGAUAUUAGGAGGAACACCAGUGGCGAAGGCGACUUUCUGGACUGUAACUGACGCUGAGGCUCGAAAGCCAGGGGAGCGAACGGGAUUAGAUACCCCGGUAGUCC
rnacentral:rRNA from 1 species